rnacentral:rRNA from 1 species
GACAGAGGGGGCAAGCGUUGUUCGGAAUUACUGGGCGUAAAGGGCGCGUAGGCGGGAUGGCAAGUCGGUCGUGAAAUCCCUCGGCUCAACCGAGGAACGUCGAUCGAUACUGCUGUUCUUGAGGAUUGCAGAGGAGACUGGAAUUCCCGGUGUAGCGGUGAAAUGUGUAGAGAUCGGGAGGAACACCGGUGGCGAAGGCGGGUCUCUGGGCAAUUCCUGACGCUGAGGCGCGAAAGCGUGGGGAGCAAACGGG